rnacentral:rRNA from 1 species
AAAUUGAAGAGUUUGAUCAUGGCUCAGAUUGAACGCUGGCGGCAGGCCUAACACAUGCAAGUCGAGCGGUAGCACAGAGAGCUUGCUCUCGGGUGACGAGCGGCGGACGGGUGAGUAAUGUCUGGGAAACUGCCUGAUGGAGGGGGAUAACUACUGGAAACGGUAGCUAAUACCGCAUAACGUCGCAAGACCAAAGUGGGGGACCUUCGGGCCUCAUGCCAUCAGAUGUGCCCAGAUGGGAUUAGCUAGUAGGUGGGGUAACGGCUCACCUAGGCGACGAUCCCUAGCUGGUCUGAGAGGAUGACCAGCCACACUGGAACUGAGACACGGUCCAGACUCCUACGGGAGGCAGCAGUGGGGAAUAUUGCACAAUGGGCGCAAGCCUGAUGCAGCCAUGCCGCGUGUGUGAAGAAGGCCUUCGGGUUGUAAAGCACUUUCAGCGGGGAGGAAGGCGGUGAGGUUAAUAACCUCACCGAUUGACGUUACCCGCAGAAGAAGCACCGGCUAACUCCGUGCCAGCAGCCGCGGUAAUACGGAGGGUGCAAGCGUUAAUCGGAAUUACUGGGCGUAAAGCGCACGCAGGCGGUCUGUCAAGUCGGAUGUGAAAUCCCCGGGCUCAACCUGGGAACUGCAUUCGAAACUGGCAGGCUAGAGUCUUGUAGAGGGGGUAGAAUUCCAGGUGUAGCGGUGAAAUGCGUAGAGAUCUGGAGGAAUACCGGUGGCGAAGGCGGCCCCCUGGACAAAGACUGACGCUCAGGUGCGAAAGCGUGGGGAGCAAACAGGAUUAGAUACCCUGGUAGUCCACGCCGUAAACGAUGUCGAUUUGGAGGUUGUGCCCUUGAGGCGUGGCUUCCGGAGCUAACGCGUUAAAUCGACCGCCUGGGGAGUACGGCCGCAAGGUUAAAACUCAAAUGAAUUGACGGGGGCCCGCACAAGCGGUGGAGCAUGUGGUUUAAUUCGAUGCAACGCGAAGAACCUUACCUGGUCUUGACAUCCACAGAACUUAGCAGAGAUGCUUUGGUGCCUUCGGGAACUGUGAGACAGGUGCUGCAUGGCUGUCGUCAGCUCGUGUUGUGAAAUGUUGGGUUAAGUCCCGCAACGAGCGCAACCCUUAUCCUUUGUUGCCAGCGGUUAGGCCGGGAACUCAAAGGAGACUGCCAGUGAUAAACUGGAGGAAGGUGGGGAUGACGUCAAGUCAUCAUGGCCCUUACGACCAGGGCUACACACGUGCUACAAUGGCAUAUACAAAGAGAAGCGACCUCGCGAGAGCAAGCGGACCUCAUAAAGUAUGUCGUAGUCCGGAUUGGAGUCUGCAACUCGACUCCAUGAAGUCGGAAUCGCUAGUAAUCGUAGAUCAGAAUGCUACGGUGAAUACGUUCCCGGGCCUUGUACACACCGCCCGUCACACCAUGGGAGUGGGUUGCAAAAGAAGUAGGUAGCUUAACCUUCGGGAGGGCGCUUACCACUUUGUGAUUCAUGACUGGGGUGAAGUCGUAACAAGGUAACCGUAGGGGAACCUGCGGUUGGAUCACCUCCUUA